rnacentral:rRNA from 1 species
UACGUAGGGCGCAAGCGUUGUCCGGAAUUAUUGGGCGUAAAGAGCUCGCAGGCGGUCUGUCGCGUCUGGUGUGAAAUCCCCAUGGCUCAACUGUGGGCUUGCAUCGGGUACGGGCAGACUAGAGUGCGUGUAGGGGAGACUGGAAUUCCUGGUGUAGCGGUGGAAUGCGCAGAUAGUCAGGAGGACACCGAUGGCGAGGCAGGUCUCUGGGCAGUUACUGACGCUGAGGAGCGAAAGCAUGGGGAGCGAACAGG